rnacentral:tRNA from 1 species
UGGUGAUAGUCUCCCAGGGCGGGGGUCGCGGACUGUUAAUCCGCAGUUGCUUGGUUCGAUACCAAGAUCACCAGCCA